UACAGAGACUGCAAGCGUUAUUCGGAUUCACUGGGCGUAAAGGGUGCGCAGGCGGCCAAGUGUGUGAGGCGUGAAAGCCUGGAGCUUAACUCCAGAAUUGCACCUCAAACUACAUGGCUAGAGCAUUGGAGAGGGUAGCAGAAUUCACGGUGUAGCAGUGAAAUGCGUAGAUAUCGUGAGGAAUACCAGAGGCGAAGGCGGCUACCUGGACAAUUGCUGACGCUCAGGCACGAAAGCGUGGGGAGCGAACAGG
rnacentral:rRNA from 1 species